UGGGGAAUUUUGGACAAUGGGGGAAACCCUGAUCCAGCCAUCCCGCGUGUGCGAUGAAGGCCUUCGGGUUGUAAAGCACUUUUGGCAGGAAAGAAACGUCAUGGGUUAAUACCCCGUGAAACUGACGGUACCUGCAGAAUAAGCACCGGCUAACUACGUGCCAGCAGCCGCGGUAAUACGUAGGGUGCAAGCGUUAAUCGGAAUUACUGGGCGUAAAGCGUGCGCAGGCGGUUCGGAAAGAAAGAUGUGAAAUCCCAGAGCUCAACUUUGGAACUGCAAUUUUAACUACCCGGCUAGCGUGUGUCAGAGGGAGGUGGAAUUCCGCGUGUAGCAGUGAAAUGCGUAGAUAUGCGGAGGAACACCGAUGGCGAAGGCAGCCUCCUGGGAUAACACUGACGCUCAUGCACGAAAGCGUGGGGAGCAAACAGG
rnacentral:rRNA from 1 species